GACGAACGCUGGCGGCGUGCUUAACACAUGCAAGUCGAACGGAAAGGCCUGCUUUCCCUUGUGGAUUGCGGGUACUCGAGUGGCGAACGGGUGAGUAACACGUGAGUGAUCUGCCCCCAACUUGGGUAUAAGCCUGGGAAACUGGGUCUAAUUCCCGAUAGGACUGCAGGGUGGUGCCUGUGGUGGAAAACGAUUUUCUAGUGGUUGGGGAUGAGCUCGCGGCCUAUCAGCUUGUUGGUGGGGUAAUGGCCUACCAAGGCGGCGCCGGGUAGCCGGCCUGGGAGGGUGGACGGCCACAUUGGGACGGAGAUACGGCCCAGACUACUACGGCAGGCAGCAGUGGGGAAUAAUACGCGGUGGGCGGAAGCCAGAUGCAGCGACGCCGCGUGGGGGAUGACGGCCUUCGGGUUGUAAACUCCUUUCGACCGCGAGGAAGCCACCUGGAUGGAAGGGUGGUGACGGUAGUGGUAGAAGAAGCACCGGCUAACUACGUG
rnacentral:rRNA from 1 species